rnacentral:rRNA from 1 species
CCUACGGGUGGCUGCAGUGGGGAAUAUUGGGCAAUGGGCGCAAGCCUGACCCAGCAACGCCGCGUGAAGGAAGAAGGCUUUCGGGUUGUAAACUUCUUUUCUCAGGGACGAAGCAAGUGACGGUACCUGAGGAAUAAGCCACGGCUAACUAGGUGCCAGCAGCCGCGGUAAUACGUAGGUCGCAAGCGUUAUCCGGAUUUACGGGGGGUAAAGGUCGUGUAGGCGGGACGGCAAGGCAGAUGUGAAAACCACGGGCUCAACCGGUGUCCUGCAUUUGAUACUGGAGUUCUUGAGUACUGGAGAGGCAGACGGAAUUCCCGGUGUAGCGGUGAAAUGCGUAGAUAUUAGGAGGAACACCAGUGGCGAAGGCAGUCUGCUGGACAGCAACUGACGCUGAGGCGCGAAAGCGUGGGGAGCAAACAGGAUUAGAUACCCCAGUAGUC